rnacentral:rRNA from 1 species
AACGAACGCUGGCGGCAUGCCUAACACAUGCAAGUCGAACGAGACCUUCGGGUCUAGUGGCGCACGGGUGCGUAACGCGUGGGAACCUGCCCUUAGGUUCGGAAUAACUCCCCGAAAGGGGUGCUAAUACCGGAUAAUGUCUUCGGACCAAAGAUUUAUCGCCUUUGGAUGGGCCCGCGUUGGAUUAGCUAGUUGGUAGGGUAAAAGCCUACCAAGGCGACGAUCCAUAGCUGGUCUGAGAGGAUGAUCAGCCACACUGGGACUGAGACACGGCCCAGACUCCUACGGGAAGCAGCAGUGGGGAAUAGUGGACAGUGGGCGAAAGCCUGAUCCAGCAAUGCCGCGUGAGUGAUGAAGGCCUUAGGGUUGUAAAGCUCUUUUACCCGGGAUGAUAAUGACAGUACCGGGAGAAUAAGCUCCGGCUAACUCCGUG